CGUGUAGGCGGCCUGAUGUGUCAGAUGUGAAAGCCCUGGGCUUAACCCAGGAAGUGCAUUUGAAACUGUCAGGCUUGAGUAGGGGAGAGGGAAGUGGAAUUCCUGGUGUAGAGGUGAAAUUCGUAGAUAUCAGGAGGAACACCGGUGGCGAAGGCGACUUCCUGGCCCUAUACUGACGCUGAGACGCGAGAGCGUGGGUAGCAAACA
rnacentral:rRNA from 1 species